UUACUUGCUUAUGUCUCAAAUUAUUUGAAAUAAACUAUUUAAAAUAUGCAAAGUCAAUGUUGAUUUUUUUUCCUCAUUAAUGUUCACAGUUCACACAAGCAGAGUAUUCUCGAGAAGAAAUUGAUGAAGUGCGAUCGGAGUUGGCAGAAUGUAUACAAGAUCAUAUUUAUGAGUAGGAGAAAUGCUCAAACUACAUGGUAGAGAUGGCAUGGAUAGAAAAUGUGGAUACAGGACAGUCGAGAUCAGUACACUAAGGAGCGUCUGGAUUCAGUAAUUGAUCAGUACAU